rnacentral:lncRNA from 1 species
AGAUGGAGGUCAAGCAGAAGGGGCAGAGGAUGAACUGGAAGUCCGGUUUCAGAGUAGAAGACUUUGGAGACCAAGUCCCACUCCCAUUGAACAGAUGGGCCACUGAGGCCAGGAGGGAAGCUGCCCCCCACCAGCCAGCACUGUGUCACCACUCACUUGCCUGCACCACAGCGCCAGGUGUUAGGCCAGGCCAGCAGUUUCCCAGACCGGUGCUCCUGUUUCCUAAGAUGUCUGCCAGGCAUCAAAGAAAGGUCUAUGCAUAUGAGAGAAAAAAUACCUAGGGAAGGAGAAAAAGGAGAAGAAACAGACAAGAGAGAAAGGAGAAAGAGCUGGGAGCAGGGAAGGAAUAGAAGGCCAGCAGGCCAGUGCUGAGAAUGCUGGGCAGACCCCCUGCCAGGGCCUGAAAUGCUGCCAUUGGUGACUCAACCUUUUGUCUUCAAAACUGCAAGGGAGAAAAAAAAUCUCACACUAGGGGGCACCACAGCUUUUAUCAGCAAUCCCAUUAGAGGCUAAGGCUGAGAGGCAUGAGAGUGCAAGUUCAACGCCCCCUUUGAUGUUGGAAUCAAGCUGUCAGGGGUUCAGUACCAGCAGCACAGCCAGGCCCUGGGGAAGUUUCUUCAGGACAUCCUCUGGGAAGAGGCCAAAGAGGCCCCAGCCGACAAGUGAUCGCCCACAAGCCUUACUCACCUCUCUCUAAGUUUAGAAGCGCUCAUCUGGCUUUUCGCUUG